rnacentral:lncRNA from 1 species
CUACAUAUAAGUGAGAUCAUGUUUCUUUGGACAUCUGAGUCAUUUAACCAACGACUUAAGCAGUGCCUCCUUUUUAAAAGAUUGAAUAUCGUCGUAUAUGGGAAUGUAUGUGAAGAUGUAAAUUGACCAGCUCCAUUGGAUAUCUAUUUCCAAAGGAUGUGAACAAUGGUAACUGAAAUGGAAGGACCUUGGAAGAGCAAGAAAAAGGAUCAGAGAAUCCUUAAGUGUAAUACCCAAAAUUCCUGAUAGAGCUUCCUUUAUCACUAAAAUAAUUUCAAUGCAAUUUAUUUUGCUGAGUCUUUUAAAAACAUAACAAACUAAAGGAAAGCAAAAAUAUUAGCGAUGAAUUUGGAGACUGC